GAUGUACUUUUUGUAACAUUACUUUAAAGAAGGAAAGUAUCCUAGGAAAUGUAUGUAUAUAUUUUGGGAGCGUUUUAAUUCGAACAAAGGUUUGGUGAUUCGACUGGCGAACACAAGCAAUGAGUAUGCUAAUCAUAUAAACUAAAACAUCAAAAUUGUUGCAAUAAAAAAAUUAAAUAGUCAUUUCAAUAAAUGAAAUACCGUCUAACAUCAUAAAUACGGAGCAGAUAUUUUAAUGUUUGCUUUUAAUCAUGAGGUCGCGCUUUUUGUUUGAAAAACCGGAUAUCUAAAUAUGAUACAAAAAGAAAUGUUUUCCUGUUGUACAUGGUGUCCUAUAAUACUUUAUUUCUUUACAAUUGCCUUAAACAUUAAUAAUAAUGUUUCAUAUUGAAAUCUGGAUAAUUUCGUGGCUCCCCUUUUCACUGCCUGUGUUGAAAGACAGUUCCGUCUCAGGUUUCUGUCACAGGAGGGGUAUCACGUUAUAUUAUUCAGGCUAUUCUUUGAUAUCGGUAAAGAAAGACUGGCAAUACCCAAAGUGAACGAUAUAGAUUGUCGAUUUAAAAAAACACUGAAUGAAAGAAGGGAGAUCAAAUCAAAAAGAAGACUUGUAGUUUGAGAGUAUCGAACAAGACAAUAAGUCUCCGAGAAAACGCAACGAAGCUGAAGAGAAUCGAACUGAAGUAAUGGCAAGCUGUAGUGUUCUCUGAACGUAACGAUUUCAUAAAAUCUGCAGCUAUGCAUAAGUACCAGAUGGCAAAUGAAUUCUAUGAAUAAUAUUUAGUAAUUCUUCUCAUAUAAUAAGGACAAUUAAACGUGAUCUUUACUUCCAUAUUCUUAAAAAAAAAGCCAUACGCGAGGAUCGAAAGUAUAAAUGUUGGUCAUGUAUAUUUUCUUGUUUUAAAGCAUUCAGAGACAAGAUCAUUUCAUUUAAGACAGAAAAUCACAUUUUCCUCUUGCAUUAUUAAGACGUGCUAUAUAACACGUGGGUCAAGUAUCCAAAAUGAAUUGAAGAGCCACUCACAUUCCUGCAUUUACUUCAGCAUGAGCAGCUUAGACAGUUUCGAUCUGUUUCGUAUCAAUUUCAGGAUGUUUUAGAGAAGCAUGUCUAUCAUUUAUUUUAUAAAUGAAAACAAAGAGCAGACAACAUUACAAUGGCUUUUUCAUCGGCAACAUCCGGGAGGAAGGAAAAAGGUAAUUAUAUCUUGACAUAUUGCAUUAUUUCAAUAACAAGGAUCUUUGUUUUCUUUUAUAUUUUAAAUAAAAAAUCAAACUUCCACUGAUAGAAAAGAAAUCAUAAACUUUUCAUACGACUGGACGGGCUGUGUAUAAUCAGACAUUUUUGUACUGCUUUUAUUUCAAUUUUAACGAUUAAUUUUGGUAGGACUAUGUCAACUAGAACCUGAAUGAUUUGAAGAAAGGAUGAAACAGCAUGUUACUCGUGAUUUCUCCUCUAGAAAGAAGACACUCUUGAAAAGUAUUACAACAUUUGAUGUUCCCAUAAACAAUGGAUUAUGUGUGAAUGUACGGUAGUGGAGUAACUUUUUCGCGGACAUAUAUUUAAAUCCAUGUUGAUAACACUUGGGGGUUUAAAUGAUGAUUAAAGUUAGUGCAAAUGGUAUGUCGGUAUUACUCAAAUGGGUAUCAGUUGCCAGGAUCUUGUAUCAUGCUGUUAUGAAUGUCACUGGGCUGCAAAACAAAAUAUCAUGUUAUUUCUUCAUCGAUCGGUCAUGAACACCUGUUAAAUGCGGUCCUUACAUAAUUGAUCCACUGCGGGAAUACACCGAUGUUAGGGAAGUCGAAUACUUACUGUUAGACCAAAAACAUUGUCGUGGUGUGGGGCGGAUGACUAAGUAUUUACACACAUAAAAGUAGAAUACUUUCACAGAUAAGUGCUAAAAGUAAUAUUAAACAAAAAUGGACUCAUCAACUAGUCACAAUUUUAGAAUAUUUGACGUAUCAGUGUUAUGAUGACAUUUGAUAACAGAAUUCUCGGGUUAUUUGUUUGUCCACAAUAUUCCCUGGUACGUAUACGCCGGUUCAAAUGACCUUUUUAAAAGGGUCUUUAAAAAUGUCAUGAUUUUAAAACAUAUAAUAGGCUACUAAAUGAAAUGUUUUGUGAAUUUAUAUCUAUAUCUAUUAAUCAUGCACGAACAACCAUCAGCUAAAAUUAUUCAAUACGCAGAGCCUAUAACUUGUAAAUAAUAGGUUGAUUAAUUAACUCGACAUUUUAAAGUAAACAUAACAUUAUGUAUGUAACAUAUUGUCUUUAUGUAGCUUAAAGAUGUUUGUUUAACGGUA